UACGUAGGGGGCAAGCGUUGUCCGGAUUUAUUGGGCGUAAAGGGCGUGUAGGCGGCCAGAUAGGUCCGUUGUGAAAACUGGAGGCUUAACCUCCAGCUGUCGAUGGAAACCAUCUGGCUAGAGUCCGGAAGAGGAGAGUGGAAUUCCUGGUGUAGCGGUGAAAUGCGCAGAUAUCAGGAAGAACACCCGUGGCGAAGGCGGCUCUCUGGGACGGUACUGACGCUGAGACGCGAAAGCGUGGGGAGCGAACAGG
rnacentral:rRNA from 1 species